rnacentral:misc_RNA from 1 species
GCAUGUCUCUUGCCGAUAAACUCUAUAAAUAGUGAUUCUUCCAAAUCUCCAUUUGCCAUUUCUUGUUUUUCUUCUAGCCCACAAAGCCAUUCUUAUCCAAGAUGAGGAGGGAAGGUCGCCAGCAUGGAAUGGUUAGGACCUACAGGAUCUUGCCUUCUCCAUGGAACCCCAAGCCCCACUCCAGAUUCUUCAACAGGUUUGACUCUCCCCCUACUGCCGGAUUAUUCGCCAAGGUCCACCCUCGACCCACCAACCAUUCCAAGUUCACCGGAAAGUGCACCAGGCCUCGCUGUAAUGGCUGUCACUUGCACCCUUCUUGCAAGUCCAAGGACAAGACUAAAGGUACCGAGAAGCUUAAGUCCCUUGAUGUUGCUUCUAAUUAUAGGUUGAUCAAUUGGCGGAUGGUGGAUGGUCGUCCUGGCUUGAACUUUUCUGGGGUUUCUGCUACUGGGAUUUUGAAUCAUCUGGCGAAUGAAGAUGAUUAUUUGGAUGAUGACAUUGAUGGCGAUUAUGAUAGUUAUUGGGAGAAUGCGACUUCGAGCUCAAGAGAGAUGGAUGAAGGGGUUCAGAUUGAAGAAAUUGCUGAUGCUAAUGUUAAUGAUGAUAAGGACAAUAGAGAAAAUGAUGAUGGUGAUGAUGAUGGGUUGAGUUUUUGUGAUGUGGGUUUCUUAGUGGAUCAAAUUGAGGGAGAUGAUGGUUGGUGUUUGGUUGAAGAAAUGUGAUUUUGCUCUUGUUUAAAUUGUGUUAAUAUAUUUAUGUAAUAUUUGGAGGAUGAUUUUUUAAAUGCUUCCUCACAUAUCACAAGAAUGUUUAUUAAAUUAAAAAUAAAUAAUGUAUUUUGUGUGUUUGAUUCAGUUGGGUACUUGGUUAAUAGAAGCUUAGAAAUAACUUUGUUCAA